CCUACGGGCGGCAGCAGUGGGGAAUAUUGCACAAUGGGCGAAAGCCUGAUGCAGCAACGCCGCGUGAGCGAUGAAGGCCUUCGGGUCGUAAAGCUCUGUCCUCAAGGAAGAUAAUGACGGUACUUGAGGAGGAAGCCCCGGUCACUACGUGCCAGCAGCCGCGGUAAUACGUAGGGGGCUAGCGUUAUCCGGAAUUACUGGGCGAAAAGGGUGCGUAGGUGGUUUCUUAAGUCAGAGGUGAAAGGCUACGGCUAAACCGUAGUAAGCCUUUGAAACUGGGAAACUUGAGUGCAGGAGAGGAGAGUGGAAUUCCUAGUGUAGCGGUGAAAUGCGUAGAGAUUAGGAGGAACACCAGUUGCGAAGGCGGCUCUCUGGACUGUAACUGACACUGAGGCACGAAAGCGUGGGGAGCAAACAGGAUUAGAUACCCGAGUAGUC
rnacentral:rRNA from 1 species